UUUGUCUUCACUGCAUUUAUUCUUAUCUUUUUUCUGACAUGCUUUAUUCAGUUGUGUAACAAGCAUCCUUAAAUCAUAUUCAAACCAUGCUCAUCCUCAAAAAGCAGAAGUGUUAACAGUUUACAGCAGGCUAUGCACACAUAUCAUCCACCUUUAUAUCCAACUUACAGCUGUUUCCCUCACACAUGCAUCCAUGCAUAUAUUAUACAGCCAUGGGAGAAACAGCAACUAAUGCAAGGAUGAAAGUUCAUCUGUUGCUGCUAGUUCUCCUUUUAAGCAAUAGGGUGAUUGAUCAGGAGAUUGAUGAUGUAAACAUUAUUUUAUUCUUAAUACUCUAUAUACUUAUAGAUUUCACCUUUAUCAUAUCCACUGCCAUCAAAUCUUUAGAAGAGUAAGAUCAUACAAGUCACGGG
rnacentral:lncRNA from 1 species